rnacentral:rRNA from 1 species
CUAUGUGUUGUUGGGUAGGGGAGCGUUCUGUAAGCCUGUGAAGGUGUGCUGUGAGGCAUGCUGGAGGUAUCAGAAGUGCGAAUGCUGACAUAAGUAACGAUAAAGCGGGUGAAAAGCCCGCUCGCCGGAAGACCAAGGGUUCCUGUCCAACGUUAAUCGGGGCAGGGUGAGUCGACCCCUAAGGCGAGGCCGAAAGGCGUAGUCGAUGGGAAACAGGUUAAUAUUCCUGUACUUGGUGUUACUGCGAAGGGGGGACGGAGAAGGCUAUGUUGGCCGGGCGACGGUUGUCCCGGUUUAAGCGUGUAGGCUGGUUUUCCAGGCAAAUCCGGAAAAUCAAGGCUGAGGCGUGAUGACGAGGCACUACGGUGCUGAAGCAACAAAUGCCCUGCUUCCAGGAAAAGCCUCUAAGCAUCAGGUAACAUCAAAUCGUACCCCAAACCGACACAGGUGGUCAGGUAGAGAAUACCAAGGCGCUUGAGAGAACUCGGGUGAAGGAACUAGGCAAAAUGGUGCCGUAACUUCGGGAGAAGGCACGCUGAUAUGUAGGUGAAGUCCCUCGCGGAUGGAGCUGAAAUCAGUCGAAGAUACCAGCUGGCUGCAACUGUUUAUUAAAAACACAGCACUGUGCAAACACGAAAGUGGACGUAUACGGUGUGACGCCUGCCCGGUGCCGGA